AGAUGCCCCUGGUAUAUUAUGUUAUCCCUUGCUCAUAUAUUGUCUGCAACAAUAUUAAUUAAAUUUCAGUGUAUUAUUAAACAUUAUAGUUUUGUAAUCUCUCUGCUUAUAAAUGCAAAAUAAUAUAAAGUAUGUAUAUAUUACACAGCCUUCAAUAUUGAGCAGGGCAAUAUUUGAUUUUCUGUGACUUGUUUCCUGUUCACAACAUAACAGAGUCGGGUUUCUAUUCAGGACACUGUCAAAGCAAGGAUACACCAACCUAGUGAAUGCCCUGUUCAGUGAAUAUCCACACAUUGGAGACCCUAAAUGUUGGAGGAUGUCCCUUCGUACCAAGAUGAAAAAUAUUCGAAUGCCAUUAGAAUUGAAUAAUGUGCAAUUUCUUAAAAAAAAAAAAAAAUUGGUUGCCUAGGGACAGGAGGUCGUAAGAGGGUUGCAGAAACAGUGGAUGAAGAAAGGGAGGCCUGUAAGAAAAGACAGAAACUUAAGAUUGAUUUAGAUGGACCUGGGGAUGAUGAAGUGACUACACUCAGCCACAUAGAUAUUUUAAUGGCUGAAUAUAAAGAGGAUCACCUGAUCUUGCUAUGAUUGCAAGAAAAAUGGAGAGGACUUGUGCCUUCAGAUGGAAGAAGAUCAACGAUCCAAAUUUGUCUGUGGAAGACAUCCUCUUAGAUUUUCCAGCUCUAAGGAAAAGAAAUUUUAUUUCUGCGCACGGUUUGCUUUGCAGCUUCUGCCGUCACUUUAAAGAGAAUGAAGAAUAUCUUCUAGUUCAUUCACAUGAGGACAUAAACCUCCAGCUCCAGUCCUCACCUUUCAAGGAGAUACCAGCUUCACAUUAAUGGCAGCUCUGUCUUUUCUAGGAA